ACAUGUUUACUAUUCAAUCCACUACUGGGGAUUCCUACAAACUCAGAGCACUGGACGCCCAAGAGGAAGAGUUAUGGAUGACCCAGCUACAGCUGUGUUCCCGACGCCACUCUGACGGCAGUGCCAAGGUGAUGAUCCAGGCUGAAGGGCAGCAGAAGAGCCUGGUCAAUUCUAUUGAGUCUCUACACCCCCGAGGUGGACCCCUCUCUUCUCUGGA